rnacentral:miRNA from 1 species
CCAUAUUGGUUUCUCAUCAGUGACAGCUGAUUUGUAUGAACAAAUCAGCUGUCACUGAUGAGAAACCAAUAUGG